rnacentral:lncRNA from 1 species
CUGGAUCAGUUCGUUCAUCAUGGUUGAAAAUGAUGAUUUUUCCAAUUUUAUCAUUUCUUCUGCAUUUAUUAGGUGGAAUUAUUUUGUAUAGAACUUUUCCUUGUCCAUUCUAUUUAUUUAAUUACUCCAAAUUCUGUUCAUAAUGGAUAUCAGAAUGAAUGCAGAAUUAUUUUCCUGUGAUUAUUAAAUUCUGUAAUUGAUGUUCAUUGUAUUGAGUUGGUGUUGUAGCAAUUUUCAAUGGUGGCCAAGAAGUUUUGUUUUAACACGUUGUGUAAAGGAGCCGGCCAAAACCCACCAAAACCAAA